rnacentral:lncRNA from 1 species
GUUGAAACUAGGAACUAAAUACUGAAGAUGAUAACGCAGCUGUGGCUCACAGUGGGGAGGAUGUAGGAAAUACUAGCCCCAGUAAGCCUCCAGGAUCCUCCAGAAAGAAGAACAAAAGAGGGUAUAGUUAUGCAACCACCUUUCAGCUGCUGCGAUUAGAGGCAGGAACAGAGGUUGUAAACAAGGAGCAUGUACUGAAGAAAGGAGCCUACUUGUCAGUUCUUUACCUACGUCAUUUGAGAAUCCAAGAGCUAAAGCGAGUCUGCCUGGGGAUCCUGAACUACUUCAGAUCCGUGGAGAGAACCCUGACCAUCAGUACUGCGGGCCUAUCCUUCAAAGCUGGUAAUUUAAUUCCCAGCGCAGAAGAUACCUGCUGGGUCAGUGCUGCCAAAGGAGGCACUGGUGUUUCUGGUGGCCUGAGUUCUCAGCCUUAUGUUCAUUACACACCAGCUGACUACAAGGCCAUAUAA